rnacentral:rRNA from 1 species
CUUUUUAAUGAAUGUUUCUAAAGUAGUAAAUCAGAAACUUAAAAUUUUGACGGUAUUUAAUUUUCCAAAGGAAUAUAUAAAUUAAUCGUCAAUACACGCUAAAUCUUACUUAUUUUCUUUUUGUAUAUCUCCGUUGUCAGAUUUUAUUUUAAAUAAUUAAAAUUUUCUAAAUAAAAUGUUUUAAUACAUCAGGUCAAGGUGCAAAAUAAAUAAGUUUUUAUGUAUUACAAUCAAGAAUAUUGUAUUGAAUAAAUACUCUGUAAAUUAUUUUGAAAAUGAAUUUGUAAGUAAAAUA